rnacentral:lncRNA from 1 species
UUUCUACAUUAGUAAAGCUUACCAUCUCUAUUCUUAGUCCUCUACUUUAUAUAGGUGAGUUCAUGAAAUCAAGAAGUCAUCCCUAUAUUUAGUCAGUAGAACUAUCGGAACGUUUACUUUGAAUAGUCAAACGAAGCAUGUGCUAUUUUGCACAGGUUAGAUGAUUACUACUUGUUUCAAUGUGUACCUAGGCAGCAUUCUCUUAUUCAGAAAUACAUGGAGAGGUACAAUCUUGAAAGAGAAGCAGGGCUGGAGAGAUGGCUCAGUGGUUAAGAGCACCAACUGCUCUUCCAGAGGUCCAGAGUCCAAUUCCCAGCAACCACAUGGUGGCUCACAGCCGUCUGUAAUGGGAUCUCAUGCCCUCUUCUGGUGAGUCUGAAGAUUGCUACAGUGUACUCAAAAAAAAAAAAGAAAAAAAAAAAAAG